GAUGAACGCUGGCGGCGUGCCUAACACAUGCAAGUCGAACGAAGCACCUUACCUGAUUCUUCGGAUGAAAGUUUGGUGACUGAGUGGCGGACGGGUGAGUAACGCGUUGGUAACCUGCCCUGUACAGGGGGAUAACAGCUGGAAACGGCUGCUAAUACCGCAUAAGCGCACGAGGAGACAUCUCCUUGUGUGAAAAACUCCGGUGGUACAGGAUGGGCCCGCGUCUGAUUAGCUGGUUGGCAGGGUAACGGCCUACCAAGGCAACGAUCAGUAGCCGGUCUGAGAGGAUGAACGGCCACAUUGGAACUGAGACACGGUCCAAACUCCUACGGGAGGCAGCAGUGGGGAAUAUUGCACAAUGGGGGAAACCCUGAUGCAGCAACGCCGCGUGAGUGAAGAAGUAUUUCGGUAUGUAAAGCUCUAUCAGCAGGGAAGAUAAUGACGGUACCUUACUAAGAAGCUCCGGCUAAAUACGUG
rnacentral:rRNA from 1 species